GAAACAUAUUUAUAGUGGUUGCGUAGCUCUGGAUGGAGGCAGAGCCAUUCCCAGGCGGGGCUCCAGGGAGGAUCAUGCCUGCUGUGCGCUCUUCCCAGCCCCCAGGACCAGGACAGGAGCCCCCGCACCCAAAUCAAUCACACUGCUGUUUCUCCUCUCUGCGACUACCAUAAUUCCAGGCCUAUAUCAUGCUCCUGGUGUCAGGGGGGAAACCAACUUUCAGGUCUGCUAAUUCCACUUGGAAGGAUGAUGUAUGUGGGAAUGCUCUUUAGUUGGAUAUUCAACUCAAUCCUAAACCAAUUUCAAGAGGGAGUGUUUAUGAGAGCCAAGGGCAUCUCUUUUAGAGCUGGCUUCAGGAUCCUUGUUUCUGUUAGAGAUACGGGAUGUAGGGGGAACCCUCCAUCACAAGAGCAGGGAAAGGCCCCCAGAAUAAGAGAGGAGGGAGACAGGGCCCGCCCAGCAGAGCCAUAAUUAUCUGAGGAGGAAGCUGAGAAAAGAAAGGAGAAAGAAGGAAUAAUCCCUUCAUGCUGCGCCUCCUCUCCCCACAUCCCAGCGUUACAUGGCUGGAUUCCUCUAGUGGCCAGAAAUAUUUAAUCGAAUACUUUUGUUUGGAUCUUGCAUCCCUGGUAACCUGAAGAUGUUACCAUGGCAAUCCCUGAGUAAUACAUCUCGAUUAUUUAUGGCCUUGCAAAUAGGGUGGGGAACCAUUCCAGGCCCCAUGGAAACAGCAGGGAGGUAGAAGCCUCAUUUCCUUCGCUCACUGUUUCCAGGCAGCCCCAGAGGAAGGGGAGAAGGGAGCUGCCAGUUUGGUUGGGUAGAAAUAGUUCAAAGCCUUUUAGCACGGAGAAUCUCACCUCAUCAUUCCCCUUUUGUGUCCCUUAGAGUUUCCCUGUUCCCUACCCCUCCUAUUCCGGGUCCCCACAGGUCACCCUCUAUUCUCUAGGGCAUAGGUCAGGGUUGGGUGGGUGGAGGGGUCAGGGCUAUCUAAGGACUUGGGCCCCCAGUUCUCUGCUGAGCUGGUCUAAAAUCCCAUUCACACCACAUGCUGCAUCGAUGACCUCAGGCACAUGACUUGGCCUUCCAAAGGCUUUGUUUCUUCAAGUGCCAAAUGAGGAUAAGAACAGGUCUUAUUUCACAGACUGAUUACGAGCGUUAAAUGAAAUAUGCAUGUAAAGCUCUUUGUACAGCACCUGGCACAUAGUAAGUGCUCAAUUAAUCAGAGUUGUUCCAUAAUAAUUACAUUAUCAACCAUCCUAACACAUCCUUGUUUGUGGAUGCAAGUCAGGAUUGUUGAGGGAGGGGCAGGAAAACAGAACCGGGGCUGGACAAGGUGUGUACAAGAGUGAGGGGGUAGGUUUCCAGUUUCCUUCUCUUGUCCUGUGCUCCUGAGAACAGCAUGAGCCUCUGUGGUGAAGUUAACCCUGGGUCCCUGCAGUCCCACUCUUCUCUGGCGUGCCACCACCCUGCACCUAAAUGGCCAGAUCUCCAUCCCCACAAAGUCUGCCCUGAUUAGCCCUGUACUGGGUUGAAAGUCUCCUAAAAUUUAUAUCUACCUUGUGAAUAUGACCUUGCUCGGAAAUAGGAUGUUUACAGAUACACAUCAAGUUAAAAUGAGGUCACACUGGGCUACGUAGACCCACUCCAAUCCAAUGACUGGUAUCCUUGUAACAAGAGGGAAAUCUGGACACAGACACACACUAGGAGAAUGCUACCUGAUGAUGGAGGCAGAGAUGGAGUGAUCCUGCCACAGCCAAGGCAACAAGAUGGCAGCAAUCACCAGAAGCCGGGACAGGCAUACCCCCAAGGGGAACCAUCCCCACCGAAGCCCAGAUCUCCGUUUUCUGCUCUCCAGAAUGCAGCUCCUACAGUGCUUUGGAGUUCCCUGGAAGAGAAGAUCUCUC
rnacentral:lncRNA from 10 species